CCUACGGGUGGCAGCAGUGAGGAAUAUUGGUCAAUGGACGAGAGUCUGAACCAGCCAAGUAGCGUGAAGGAUGACUGCCCUAUGGGUUGUAAACUUCUUUUAUAAAGGAAUAAAACGAGGCACGUGUGCCUUUUUGCAUGUACUUUAUGAAUAAGGAUCGGCUAACUCCGUGCCAGCAGCCGCGGUAAUACGGAGGUUCCGAGCGUUAUCCGGAUUUAUUGGGUUUAAAGGGAGCGUAGAUGGGUUGUUAAGUCAGUUGUGAAAGUUUGCGGCUCAACCGUAAAAUUGCAAUUGAUACUGGCAGUCUAGAGUACAGUUGAGGUAGGCGGAAUUCGUGGUGUAGCGGUGAAAUGCGUAGAUAUCACGAAGAACCCCGAUUGCGAAGGCAGCUUACUAAACUGUGACUGACAUUGAUGCUCGAAAGUGUGGGUAUCAAACAGGAUUAGAUACCCCAGUAGUC
rnacentral:rRNA from 1 species